GCCUUCGUGGUGUAGUGGUUUGCAUGCUCCACGUGUAACCGGAGAGGUCCGUGGUUCGAUUCCCGGCGAAGGCG
rnacentral:tRNA from 1 species